CACUGUGUUUCAGGUGUGUGUAACAACACCCCUCCUUCCUGCCAUCUGAUCCUACCGAUUCAUCAAGGGCUCAAUGGCCUCCUCCGUGUUCCCGCUUUUCAAAGUGUGAGUCAGCCUCUCUAACUCUGGAUUACUGUCUAAUUUGAUCUGGUCAGUUCUGAAGAUAUUAGGUAAUAUUAGACCCAUCUCCGGC
rnacentral:lncRNA from 1 species